rnacentral:rRNA from 1 species
UGCGUAGGUGGCGGGGUAAGUCAGGUGUGAAAUCUCGGAGCUCAACUCCGAAACUGCACUUGAUACUGCCUUGCUCGAGUACUGGAGAGGAGAUUGGAAUUUACGGUGUAGCAGUGAAAUGCGUAGAUAUCGUAAGGAAGACCAGUGGCGAAGGCGAAUCUCUGGACAGUUACUGACACUGAGGCACGAAGGCCAGGGGAGCAAACG